rnacentral:rRNA from 1 species
UACAGAGGUCUCAAGCGUUGUUCGGAUUCAUUGGGCGUAAAGGGUGCGUAGGUGGCGGGGUAAGUCAGAUGUGAAAUCUCGGAGCUCAACUCCGAAACUGCAUUUGAUACUGCCUUGCUUGAGUACUGGAGAGGAGAUUGGAAUUUACGGUGUAGCAGUGAAAUGCGUAGAUAUCGUAAGGAAGACCAGUGGCGAAGGCGAAUCUCUGGACAGUUACUGACACUGAGGCACGAAGGCCAGGGGAGCAAACGGG